GCGCAAGCGCCGGGGCGGCAGCUGCACAGAGCGAGGGGGAGCGGCGCGGCCGCCAGCAGUGCGGCCUCCGGGUGCCGCCGCCCUCCCCGGGGAGCCUCGGGGACCUCACUCUGGGAAAGCUCUCCCGGGUAACCCCGACCUCCCAGCACGCGGGACGGGCCCGCGCCAGGACUCACCCAGAGGCCGCAGAGAUAAGUUGUCCCAGUCACGGAUCAACCUCCCUGGGGUUUGACCGAAAAUGACAAUUUAAUCUUAAACGGCUCCUGGUGGAAGUGCAGUGUAAUGACCCGGAGCAGCAGGUAAACUAGACUGGCCCAACACAGAAGGACUUAUGAGAGGCUGUCUCCCUACCCUAGGACAGAGCUGGGUGACAGGAUCUACCGCGGUCACCCAGUAUAGGGACAGGUGGGUGUGCAGUUGCGGCUACACAGACUGGACCAGAGCGAAUGCUUGUCCACGUGAAUGCUGGGAAAAGAGAUGACCUGAAGUGAGAGAGCUGCUACCUGGAGAGGAACUAGCGCAACAUCAGUCAUUUCACAGAUGGACAAACUGAGUCAAGGAGUUAUUGAAGGUUGCAGCAGUGACCUUCAUCUGUGACUGCCAUGAUUCUAGUACCAAGCAUCUCCCCCUGAAGUCUGGGGGGGUUGCAGGGGUUUGGUAGAGGGAGCUAGUGGGGAAAUGGGUGUGAGAAUCUGGGGAAAUUUCCCCCAGGCUUCUUUUAACCACUUUAAACGCACGGUCCUAAAGCGAAAAUUUAAAAAUAAGAACAACAAUCAGAUGUGGUAGCCCACUCCUUUAAUUCCAGGCAGAAGCAGGUAGAGAUCUGUGGUUCAAGACCAACCUGGUUUAUGUAGGUAGUUCCAGGACUACAUAGUGAGGCCCUGUCUUAAAACAAAACAAAACAAAAAAACAACCCAAACCAAAACAAACAAAAGCAAAAAACCAACAACAACAACAAAACAAUGGAGCCAGGCAGUGGUGGUACACACCUUUAAUCCCAGCACUUGGGAAGCAGAAGCAGGCCGAUUCUAUGUAUUCAAGACUCAAAGCCAGUCUGGUCUACAUAGUAGUGAGUUCUAGGACAGCCAGGGCCACAAAAAGAAAACCCUGUCUCAAAACAAAAUAACACACCCCACAAAUAUGUCAAAGAAUCGUUCUGUGAUGGAUUGAAAAAUGUGCCAUAAAUCCGAAGUCUCAUGCAUUUGACCCUCUGUAUUUGAUCAUCAGAUAUGUGCUUGGACCCCAGGGAAUUCAUUUUUGUUUAGUGCAGAAAUUGUGUAUGCUAGGCAAGUGCUACACCACAAUUCCCACAUAGAAUAUAUGUGUAUAUAUGUAUGUGUGUGUGUGUAUUUAAAUAAGAUAUAUCAAAAGUCCGAAUAUCUGGUCUGCAAGAUGUCUUAGUAAAUGUGUUUGCUGCCAAGCCUGCAGGCAAGAGUUCAGGUCUCAGAACUCACGCUGUGGAAAACAGAACCCGUGAAAGUUGUCCUUGGAUCAGCACAUGUUUACAUACCACACGCACACUCACACACACAUACACACACCCUAAAUGAAAUGUAAGAAUACUAAAAAUCCAAAUCCCAAUUGAUGAACAGAUGUCUUUUCAGUGGUAUUAUUAUUCCUUGAUAAAAGCAAUACCAAUACCUCUAAAAAUGUGUGAAAGCAUGCUAAGUAGAAAGAUGUAGGCAUAUAAGGACAAAGAUUGUAUGACCCCACUUACAGGAGUUUCCUAGACUAGGCAGGAGCUGGGGCAGGGAGCAGGGAAUGAUGGCCAGUGGGGUUUUUUUUGUUUUUGUUUUUGUUUUUGUUUUUUGCUUUUGUUUUUGUUUUUUUGUUUGUUUGUAAUAAAGAAAGUUUUCUGGACCUAUGUAGAGAUAUAUGUCCCAUGUCACUGAACAUUGUACUUUAAAAUGGUUAUAAUGAGCCAGGCACAUGGCUCAGUGGUUAGUCACUUGCCACAGAAGCACAAAGAUCCCCAGGGAAAUUUUUGGUAGACAUGGCAACUGGCCUGUAAUUCCAAAGUCUUAAAAGGCAGAGACAGGGCUGGAGAGAUGGUGGUUGAGAGCACUGACUGCUCUUCCAGAGGUCCUGAGUUCAAAUCCCAGCAACCACAUGGUGGCUCACAACCAUCUGUAAUGGGAUCUGAUGCCCUCUCCUGGUGUGUCUGAAGACAGCUACAGUAUACUCACAUACAUAAAAUGAAUAAAUAAAUCUUUAAGGCAGAGACAAACGAUUCCUCAGAACAAGCUGGCUAGUGAGAUUAGCCAUACUACAAGCUCUGGAUUUGAUUGAGCCAGUCUGCCUCAGUAAAUAAGCCAGACAGAGGAUGAUUCCAGACAUGGAUUGCCCUGGAUAUGCAUGCCGUCCCAGGUAUAUCUGCACCCACACCACGCAUACAAAUGUGCAUACACACAUGCAGACCACACACACACACACACACAAGGGAGAAAAAUGUUUAUAAUGGUCGAUGUGAUGUUACCUGAGUUUGACUAUUAUGAAAAGGAAUCCAAAUGCGUUAGACCCAGCCAGAGUUCUACACAGCCGCCCUCGCCUUUCAAGCCGCUCAGGUGACAACCGGUUUGCUCCAUGAAAACUACCUGACUUCAGCUUGCUGUCUAUACCCUGAAGGUAUUUAUAUUUUUGAUCCCUGAUUAAACCAUAAAGCUUACUACAAA
rnacentral:lncRNA from 1 species